rnacentral:misc_RNA from 1 species
GAAAUAAUAGUAUCUGUUUGGCCCUACAGAUGGCGUCGUCCUGUGUUGUGGUAGUUUAAAAUCUCGCGGUGUUUGUAACAACAAACCGUAAUAGCUUCGGAUUUUGCCAGCAGGUGCGGAGUAGCGAUCCCUCUAGCGGCAAGUUCGUGAAGUAGUGGUGGGAGGGGGACUCCAUCAGCUGAUCCGUGUCGUCUGCUGCUCAGUCGACUGGCAGUAGUGGUUGCGUGUGGACCGUACGACAGAUCCUUCCCUGAGACAGCACCUAUUACGUUCCUGUGGUUAUUGUUAUAGGUUGCAUUACAAUUAUGUGAGGGGAUCUCGCGACGUCCAAGUGCCUGCAAAGGACAGCGUAUCGAGAAGGGAUUUUGAACAGGGAAGUAUUGUUCCGACUGUGACAGGAGUAGUGUGUGAGAGUGACUGAGCAGAGCAGUAGACUCGGGUCUGGCUGGUCCGCCAACACAUUGCUGACCGGAACCUCGACCUCACCUGCGACAGGAUGAGUGGGGAAGUGCUUACAUUCUCCUCCCCACAAGAGGAGGCGGACUACUGGAGGAAGAAAGCAGCGGAAUACAAGCAAAGCCUUGAAGAGACGCGAGAAGAGCUGGAGGAAUUCCAGAGCGGCAGCCGAGAGCUUGAGGCGGAGCUGGAGGCUCAGCUGGAACAGACGGAGAAUCGGUGCUCCGAGUACCAGUCACAGCUGAAUCGCCUGGCCAUCGAAAACGAUUCCCUCAAGGAACGGUUGGAGCGUCUACACAAUGAAUUCAACGGGCAAGUGUCAUCCCUACAAGUGGAAUUAACAGAAAUCAAGAAUAUCAAAGAGGACCUCACACGCUACAUCCGGGAGCUGGAGCAAGCCAACGAUGAUUUGGAGAGAGCCAAAAGGGCGACAGUGACAUCAUUAGAGGACUUUGAGGCAAGGCUAAAUUUAGCAAUCGAGCGAAAUGCCUUCCUGGAGUCUGAGCUUGACGAAAAGGAGGCGUUGAAAGUUAUGGUGCAGAGACUGAAGGACGAAGCCAGAGAUCUUCGGCAGGAGCUGAGUGUAAAAAACAAGGACGACGAUGAGCCAGAUAAUGACAAAGCUCUCCAACACCAGCAGAAUAAUCACCUGCACCUUCAACCACCUCCCAAGUUACAGCCUCCCCCUCAGACAGUCUCCGAUGAAAACGUUGAUUCCAAUAAACUCGUUUCCAGCACACAACUCACAGAUUCUGUUCCAAGCACACCUGUAAAAACACACCCUUUGCACAACAUAAACAACGGAAGUGUACCAAUGACGCCAUCAGCAAGGAUAUCAGCUCUCAAUAUUGUGGGAGACCUUUUAAGAAAAGUGGGGGCACUGGAGUCGCGUCUAGCCUCGUGUCGUACACUCGUGAAGGACAACCAGCGCCCCCUCAGCCUGCCUCCACCCGGCAACCACUCUGCCAGAUGAAAAUCCAGCAGAUUAACAGGGACUUGAAUAGGGUGAACUCAGUAUUCAAAGCAGAAAGAACCAGCUGACAUGCGGCUCCCCCACCAUCCCCACCACUGUGAUUCCUGCGUAGAGCUACCGUACACCAAAAUUGAUUCCCAGACAGACUCGAGAGGGAGAGUAGCUGAACGCCUCAAGGAUAGACCACGCAUUCCAAAACAGUGCUCGAUAACGUUAAGAAAAAGCCAGAUAACGAAUGAUAUAAAUGGCAUUGCUUUUUCACACAGAACUCCUGAUUUGGCCAGAAAACCUUGUGAAUCCAGUUUAAGAAGAGGCAAUUCGGAAUACAUGCCUCGCAGACUACUAGGACGGCAGCAAAGUCAAUGCAGUCAUGUCUGUGGCAAUAGUUACCCCCUCUAUGUAACAAAAGAUGAAUAUUUUUUCUAAAAAGGAAUCCCAAAAGACUUGUCCCUUUUAAGUUAAAUUCACUUCUAUGCUGCAGGAUUAGGAGGCUCUCCAGGAUGUCCUUAUAUAUGUAAAUAGUUAGUUUAAUUGAUUGAAGAUAUUAUUGAUGCAUCCAUUUUAGCAAAGAUCCUUUUUUGUUGUGGCAUAACAAGUGGUAAGAUAAUUCUGUUUUGAAAUACUGCUGUGUGCAUCUCCUAGGUAAGCUUUUUUUUUAUUUCAAGUAAUUUGCUUUUUAGUUCAUCAGGUGCUCCAUUUUCCUGCAGUCUGUGUGGAAAAUUAUUAAAUUUAGCAAGCAGAUGCCUAAAUAUCCUGCCUGUUAUCUGCAUUGUGAUAAUGAUCAAAAGAGCCAACAGGAGGUAACAAAGCACAUAGCAGCAGCAGCACAGUGUUAGUGAUGGACAUCACAGUUAGUCACAUCAUUGUGAUCAAAUUAAGUGCCCAAGAAUCCCAUAUUGUGACACGGAAAAGCUGAUAAAUGCACACCGCCUUUAUUUAUGACAGUCAUCAGUGUUAUGGUAGUGAAAUGCAUUGCAGGCUUAUGAUCUUGUGUAUAUGUGUAUACCAUGGGAAUCGUCAUGGAAAUAUCAGCCAAACAUUGAUGCGUCUUUCUUAAGCAUAAUUUUAUUGAUAGUGAAAAGUUUCUUUGCUGUAACUGAGAUGUUAAAAGUAGAUAUUUCAAUUUGAUUGUACACUGUACUUGUCAUUCAAAGUGAAUACUCUCGAGUUGUGCUUAAGAAAUGGUGUCGCAGCCUCAUCUUCUAGUUUCCUCUGUCAAAUUCCAAUUUUGUACAUAAUGGUAACUCUUCAGUUCCUUGAUAUCUCUUGUUACAUAUUGAUAUGAGCUGUACCAUAGCUUCUUGGUAGAUUGGACAAUAUCACCUAUGUAAUUUAUGAAAGGUUCCUCCUGAAGCAGAGGUUAAUGGUACAAUGUUUCAGAUGCCCAAGUUUUAUGUGGCAGAUAAGUAGGCUUAAUAAUCAAGUCUUGAAAUUAAAUUAUGGAUUGUAUAAGACCUUUUUUUUUAUGAUUGGUUAAAUAGGUUCAGUGUUGUACUGUAAUCACCACCUCAGAACCAAACAAAAAACCUGUGUAACUAGCCCAAGACUCGGUGAUAAAGAAAGGUUAUCAACAACUGGGCAUAUUGUCCCAGAAUACUGCAGUUACCGGGAGUGUCAGGUUUUAUCUCGCAAUGAUGUCACAUCUCCAAAUAUUCAAUCAGCAAAAUAUUUUUCUCCACUUGCUUGGAUAAGCCUUUUGUUUAAUUUGAUAUUUUUUAUUUUUUCUAUAUAGUUUUAAUAUAGAUAAUUAUCAAAUUAGUCCCAAGAUUAGAAGAAAAAGAAAUCUGACCCAAAGAAUUUUUUCCAGGAUUGACAUUGAAAAACAUUGGCAACGGACAGGAUACAAUGUAUUCCUUUCCUUUUAAAGAACAAGUGAUGAAUAUUUACAUUUUAUAUUGCAUAUUUUGUUUAUUAGAUUGGUCUCUAUUCUCAUUAAAAAUUAGCAGAAACA